rnacentral:rRNA from 1 species
GUUGAACGCUGGCGGCAGGCCUAACACAUGCAAGUCGAACGGUAACAGGAAACAGCUUGCUGUUUCGCUGACGAGUGGCGGACGGGUGAGUAAUGUCUGGGAAACUGCCUGAUGGAGGGGGAUAACUACUGGAAACGGUAGCUAAUACCGCAUAACGUCGCAAGACCAAAGAGGGGGACCUUCGGGCCUCUUGCCAUCGGAUGUGCCCAGAUGGGAUUAGCUAGUAGGUGGGGUAACGGCUCACCUAGGCGACGAUCCCUAGCUGGUCUGAGAGGAUGACCAGCCACACUGGAACUGAGACACGGUCCAGACUCCUACGGGAGGCAGCAGUGGGGAAUAUUGCACAAUGGGCGCAAGCCUGAUGCAGCCAUGCCGCGUGUAUGAAGAAGGCCUUCGGGUUGUAAAGUACUUUCAGCGGGGGGGAAGGGAGUAAAGUUAAUACCUUUACUCAUUGACGUUACCCGCAGAAGAAGCACCGGCUAACUCCGUG